UUUUAUAGCAGUGUCAUAAACAGCGGGAGAGGGACCAGAUUUUUCCUGUUUUCUCGUUUUUCCUCAAAUGAGAACGGCUGACGCAUCCCAGCUACUGAAACGCGAGGAGGUUGUUUCUCAAACUGAUGCCACUGCAGGCUGUGGUUGUUGCUCGCCUCAGGAGAAAAGAUUAUGUGGAAAAUGUGAUGGAGACCAUCUUCAAUAAAGUCCUGCUGGAGUCAGGUUGUUCUAUGGAGGACCUUGUGAACAUCCCUGUCCCACCGGCCCUCUGAGCAGAAUUUGAGCAACCAGACAGAAAGGAGGUCAUUAAUGUCGUGCCAAGAUUUAACAAACCAGCACUAUAAAAGCUAAGUUGAAAACGUGGUUGCUCCAAACACCAUUACAACUGAUCUAACUACCUCUAUAUAUUGUUUACAUUUGUGAGGGUUGUGAGAUACAUAGGAAAUACUGGUCAUUUCAUUAAUCUGCUAUUCUAUUCUUUAUACCUUCUAGAGUGGUGUCAAGGAAAACAGCUGCAUCCUCCAUCUGUACAGCAGCUGCACUGCUUCCGAUUCCAAAACAUGAUGAAGACA